rnacentral:lncRNA from 1 species
GAUUUUUUUGGGAAUUUUUGAGGGGAUUUUUGGGAAUUUUGGGGGGAUUUUUUUGGGGAUUUUUCUGGGAAUUUUGUGGGGAUUUUUUUGGGAAUUUUUGGGGGGAUUUUUGGGAAUUUUGGGGGGAUUUUUUGGGGAAUUUUUGGGGGGAUUUGAGGGAUUUUUGGGGAGGGGUCUCACCGUCAGGGAGGUGAAAAUUCGAGCCAGGGCCCCCCCAAAAAGGAGCCCAGUGGAGACCCCCGAGAGCUGCCCCGUGUGGCCCUGCCGGGCGUUGGUGACGAUCUGGAGAAGCUGCAGGAGGGAAAAAUUGGGAAUUUUUAGGAAAAUCUGGGAAUUUGGGGGAUUUGGGGGAUUUUUUUUGGAUUUUUUGGGGAUUUUUUGGGGGGUUUUUUUGGAUUUUUUGGGGAUUUUUUUGGGGAUUUUUUGGGGAUUUUUUGGGGAUUUUUUGGGAUUUUUGGGGAUUUUGUGGGGGAUUUUUUGGGGAUUUUUUUGGAUUUUUUGGGGGAUUUUUUUUGGGAUUUUUUGGGGAUUUUUUUUUUAUUUUUUGUGGAUUUUUUUUGGGAUUUUUUGGGAUUUUUUUGGGAUUUUUUUGGGAUUUUUUGGGAUUUUUUGGGGAUUUUUUGGGGAUUUUUUUGGGAAUUUUUGGGGAUUUUGGGGGAUUUUUGGGGGGAUUUUUUGGGGAUUUUUUUUUUUAUUUUUUGGGGAUUUUUUUUUUAUUUUUUGGGGAUUUUUUUGGAUUUUUUGGGGAUUUUUUGGGAUUUUUUGGGGAUUUUUUUGGGAUUUUUUGGGGAUUUUGGGGGAUUUUUUGGGGGAUUUUUUGGGAAUUUUUGGGGAUUUUUUGGGGAUUUUUUGGGGAUUUUUUUGGGAUUUUUUUGGGAUUUUUGGGGGAUUUUUUUGGGAAUUUUGGGGAUUUUUUGAGAAUUUUUUAGAAUUUUUGGGGAAUUUUUUUAGGAUUUUUGGGGAUUUUUUGGGGAUUUUCUGGGGAUUUUUUUGGGGAUUUUUGGGGAUUUUUUGGGGGAUUUUUGGGGAUUUUUUGGGAAUUUUUUGGGAAUUUUUGGGGAUUUUUUGGGGAAUUUUUUGGGAUUUUUUUGGGGAUUUUUUGGAAUUUUUUGGGAUUUUUUGGGGUUUUUGGGGAUUUUUUGGGGAUUUUUUUGGGGAUUUUUGGGGAUUUUUUUGGGGAUUUUUGGGGAUUUUUUGGGGAUUUUUUUGGAAUUUUUGGGGAUUUUUUGGGGAUUUUUUGGGGAUUUUUUGGGAAUUUUUGUGGAAUUUUGGGGGGAUUUUUUGGGAUUUUUUGGGGGGAUUUUUGGGGAAUUUUUGGGGAUUUUUUGAGAAUUUUUUGGGAAUUUUUGAGGAUUUUUGGGGGAUUUUUUGGGGAUUUUCAGGUAUUUUUUGGGGAUUUUUUGGGGAAUUUUUGGGGAAUUCUUGGAGGAUUUUUGGGGAAUUUUUGGGGAAUUUUUUGGGGAUUUUUUGGGAUUUUUGGGCAUUUUUGGGGAAUUUUUGUGGAUUUUUUUUUGAUUUUUGGGGAUUUUUUGGGAUUUUUGGGGAAUUUUUGGGGAAUUUUUUUUUUAUUUUUUGGGGAUUUUUUGGGGAUUUUUUGGGGAAUUUUUGGGGAAUUUUUGGGGAUUUUUUUUGGAAUUUUUGGGGAUUUUUGGGGAUUUUUGGGGGAUUUUUUAUACUGGUUUAUACUGGUUUAUACUGGUCCAUACUGGUUUAUACUGGUUUAAACUGGUUUAUACUGGUUUAUACUGGUUUAUACCGGUCCAUACUGGUUUAUACUGGUUUAUACUGGUUUAUACUGGUUUAUACUGGUUUACACUGGUCUGAACUGGUCCAUACCGGUCCAUACCGGUCCAUACUGGUUUAUACUGGUCCAUACUGGUUUAUACUGGUCCAUACUGGUUUAUACUGGUUUAUACUGGUUUAUACUGGUUUAAACUGGUUUAUACUGGUUUAUACUGGUCCAUACUGGUCCAUACUGGUCCAUACUGGUUUAUACUGGUUUAUACUGGUCCAUACUGGUCCAUACUGGUCCAUACUGGUCCAUACUGGUCCAUACUGGUCCAUACUGGUCCAUACUGGUCCAUACUGGUC